UACGUAGGGUGCGAGCGUUAAUCGGAAUUACUGGGUGUAAAGCGUGCGCAGGCGGUGAUGUAAGACAGGUGUGAAAUCCCCGGGCUUAACCUGGGAACUGCAUUUGUGACUGCAUCGCUGGAGUGCGGCAGAGGGGGGAUGGAAUUCCGCGUGUAGCAGUGAAAUGCGUAGAUAUGCGGAGGAACACCGAUGGCGAAGGCAAUCCCCUGGGCCUGCACUGACGCUCAUGCACGAAAGCGUGGGGAGCAAACAGG
rnacentral:rRNA from 1 species